rnacentral:rRNA from 1 species
UACGUAGGGUGCAAGCGUUGUCCGGAAUUAUUGGGCGUAAAGAGCGUGUAGGCGGCCCGAUUAGUCCGCUGUGAAAGUCCAGGGCUCAACCCUGGAAUGCCGGUGGAUACUGUCGGGCUAGAGUCCGGAAGGGGCGAGUGGAAUUCCUGGUGUAGCGGUGAAAUGCGCAGAUAUCAGGAGGAACACCCGUAGCGAAGGCGGCACUCUGGGCCGAUACUGACACUGAGGAGCGAAAGCGUGGGGAGCGAACAGG